GAGUCUAACAUGUGCGCGAGUCAUUGGGACACGCAAACCUAAAGGCGAAAUGAAAGUAAAGGUCUGCCUAGCGCUGACCGAGGGAGGAUGGGCCGCGUCACGAUGCGGCCCCGCACUCCCGGGGCGUCUCGUUCUCAUUAUGAGAAGAGGCGCACCCAGAGCGUACACGUUGGGACCCGAAAGAUGGUGAACUAUGCCUGGUCAGGACGAAGUCAGGGGAAACCCUGAUGGAGGUCCGUAGCGAUUCUGACGUGCAAAUCGAUCGUCGGAACUGGGUAUAGGGGCGAAAGACUAAUCGAACCAUCUAGUAGCUGGUUCCCUCCGAAGUUUCCCUCAGGAUAGCUGGCACUCGCGUACAAAACGUACACGAGUCUCAUCCGGUAAAGCGAAUGAUUAGAGGCCUUGGGGCCGAAACGACCUCAACCUAUUCUCAAACUUUAAAUGGGUGAGAUCUCUGGCUUGCUUGAACUAUGAAGCCACGAGAUUUCGGAU
rnacentral:rRNA from 1 species